UUCUAAUGGGUCCCAGUUCUAAUUGGUCCCAGUUCUAAUAGGUCCCAGUUCUAUAGGUUCCCUGUUCUAAUGGGUCCCAGUUUUAAUAGGUCCCAGUCCUAAUAGGUGACACAUAAUCCAACCAUUACAAAUUGAAGUUGUUAAGGGCUUGAAACCCAUUAGGAGAGCCCCAGUUCCAAUGGUUGGGUUAGGUUAGGUUGGGGCCUGUUCGUUACCUAGACCUGUUUGGUUAGUCACCACCCGUCUUGGGGCAAUCAUCGAAAAGACUUACGUACGACCUGGGGGUAAAAAAAAAACUACUUCCUUCCUUCUAUUGUAUUUUCCUUGGCAUACCCCAUACCAAGAUGCCCCAGGUUUUCAGGUCCUGGUAAAUAAGGCAGGCUCGAAAUACAGCAGCGACCAAUAGACCGGAGUGUAUACGUUGAGUUAGUUUUAAAAUUUGUGUUGGGUCAAUUUUUUUUUUUUUUUUUA